GGUUAAGCGACUAAGCGUACACGGUGGAUGCCCUGGCAGUCAGAGGCGAUGAAGGACGUGCUAAUCUGCGAAAAGCGUCGGUAAGGUGAUAUGAACCGUUAUAACCGGCGAUGUCCGAAUGGGGAAACCCAGUGCAAUUCGUUGCACUAUCGUUAACUGAAUACAUAGGUUAACGAGGCGAACCGGGGGAACUGAAACAUCUAAGUACCCCGAGGAAAAGAAAUCAACCGAGAUUCCCCCAGUAGCGGCGAGCGAACGGGGAGCAGCCCAGAGUCUGAAUCAGCUUGUGUGUUAGUGGAACGGUCUGGAAAGUCCGACGGUACAGGGUGAUAGUCCCGUACACCAAAAUGCACAGGUUGUGAACUCGAAGAGUAGGGCGGGACACGUGGUAUCCUGUCUGAAUAUGGGGGGACCAUCCUCCAAGGCUAAAUACUCCUGACUGACCGAUAGUGAACCAGUACCGUGAGGGAAAGGCGAAAAGAACCCCGGCGAGGGGAGUGAAAAAGAACCUGAAACCGUGUACGUACAAGCAGUGGGAGCACCUUCGGGUGUGACUGCGUACCUUUUGUAUAAUGGGUCAGCGACUUAUAUUCUGUAGCAAGGUUAACCGUAUAGGGGAGCCGCAGGGAAACCGAGUCUUAACUGGGCGUUAAGUUGCAGGGUAUAGACCCGAAACCCGGUGAUCUAGCCAUGGGCAGGUUGAAGGUUGGGUAACACUAACUGGAGGACCGAACCGACUAAUGUUGAAAAAUUAGCGGAUGACUUGUGGCUGGGGGUGAAAGGCCAAUCAAACCGGGAGAUAGCUGGUUCUCCCCGAAAGCUAUUUAGGUAGCGCCUCGUGAACUCAUCUUCGGGGGUAGAGCACUGUUUCGGCUAGGGGGUCAUCCCGACUUACCAACCCGAUGCAAACUACGAAUACCGAAGAAUGUUAUCACGGGAGACACACGGCGGGUGCUAACGUCCGUCGUGAAGAGGGAAACAACCCAGACCGCCAGCUAAGGUCCCAAAGUCAUGGUUAAGUGGGAAACGAUGUGGGAAGGCACAGACAGCCAGGAUGUUGGCUUAGAAGCAGCCAUCAUUUAAAGAAAGCGUAAUAGCUCACUGGUCGAGUCGGCCUGCGCGGAAGAUGUAACGGGGCUAAACCAUGCACCGAAGCUGCGGCAGCGACACUAUGUGUUGUUGGGUAGGGGAGCGUUCUGUAAGCCUGCGAAGGUGUGCUGUGAGGCAUGCUGGAGGUAUCAGAAGUGCGAAUGCUGACAUAAGUAACGAUAAAGCGGGUGAAAAGCCCGCUCGCCGGAAGACCAAGGGUUCCUGUCCAACGUUAAUCGGGGCAGGGUGAGUCGACCCCUAAGGCGAGGCCGAAAGGCGUAGUCGAUGGGAAACAGGUUAAUAUUCCUGUACUUGGUGUUACUGCGAAGGGGGGACGGAGAAGGCUAUGUUAGCCGGGCGACGGUUGUCCCGGUUUAAGCAUGUAGGCUGGUUAUCCAGGCAAAUCCGGAUAAUCAAGGCUGAGGUGUGAUGACGAGGCACUACGGUGCUGAAGUAACAAAUGCCCUGCUUCCAGGAAAAGCCUCUAAGCAUCAGGUAACAUCAAAUCGUACCCCAAACCGACACAGGUGGUCAGGUAGAGAAUACCAAGGCGCUUGAGAGAACUCGGGUGAAGGAACUAGGCAAAAUGGUGCCGUAACUUCGGGAGAAGGCACGCUGGUGUGUAGGUGAAGUCCCUGCGGAUGGAGCUGAGACCAGUCGAAGAUACCAGCUGGCUGCAACUGUUUAUUAAAAACACAGCACUGUGCAAACACGAAAGUGGACGUAUACGGUGUGACGCCUGCCCGGUGCCGGAAGGUUAAUUGAUGGGGUUAUCCGUAAGGAGAAGCUCUUGAUCGAAGCCCCGGUAAACGGCGGCCGUAACUAUAACGGUCCUAAGGUAGCGAAAUUCCUUGUCGGGUAAGUUCCGACCUGCACGAAUGGCGUAAUGAUGGCCAGGCUGUCUCCACCCGAGACUCAGUGAAAUUGAACUCGCUGUGAAGAUGCAGUGUACCCGCGGCAAGACGGAAAGACCCCGUGAACCUUUACUAUAGCUUGACACUGAACAUUGAGCCUUGAUGUGUAGGAUAGGUGGGAGGCUUUGAAGCGUGGACGCCAGUCUGCGUGGAGCCAACCUUGAAAUACCACCCUUUAAUGUUUGAUGUUCUAACGUUGGCCCCUUACCGGGGUUGCGGACAGUGUCUGGUGGGUAGUUUGACUGGGGCGGUCUCCUCCCAAAGCGUAACGGAGGAGCACGAAGGUUAGCUAAUCCUGGUCGGACAUCAGGAGGUUAGUGCAAUGGCAUAAGCUAGCUUGACUGCGAGCGUGACGGCGCGAGCAGGUGCGAAAGCAGGUCAUAGUGAUCCGGUGGUUCUGAAUGGAAGGGCCAUCGCUCAACGGAUAAAAGGUACUCCGGGGAUAACAGGCUGAUACCGCCCAAGAGUUCAUAUCGACGGCGGUGUUUGGCACCUCGAUGUCGGCUCAUCACAUCCUGGGGCUGAAGUAGGUCCCAAGGGUAUGGCUGUUCGCCAUUUAAAGUGGUACGCGAGCUGGGUUUAGAACGUCGUGAGACAGUUCGGUCCCUAUCUGCCGUGGGCGCUGGAGAAUUGAGGGGGGCUGCUCCUAGUACGAGAGGACCGGAGUGGACGCAUCACUGGUGUUCGGGUUGUCAUGCCAAUGGCACUGCCCGGUAGCUAAAUGCGGAAGAGAUAAGUGCUGAAAGCAUCUAAGCACGAAACUUGCCCCGAGAUGAGUUCUCCCUGAGACUUUAAGUCUCCUGAAGGAACGUUAAAGACGAUGACGUUGAUAGGCCGGGUGUGUAAGCGCAGCGAUGCGUUGAGCUAACCGGUACUAAUGAACCGUGAGGCUUAACCUU
rnacentral:rRNA from 2 species